UUUUCAUGAAGUUUUACGUAAGUUUUAUAGAGUUUGAUGGUUGAGUUUGAGUAGAAAUGCAUGUUUAAGGUUUAUGUGGGUUUUAUACCCAAUGUAUGUUAUGUGAUGUUUGUGUUGAGGAGUUUAUGUUAGUUUAUGCUCCUUUAUGCUUGUGGGAGUGCGUAUGCAUGUUUGGGAGAGAGUAUGUGAGGAUUUGGGGUGUUUUGAGUUUGGCUUUUGGCUUGGCAGAAUCGAACCUGCAUGGGAGGCAGUCUUUAGGCUGCCGAACAUGCCCCCGAAGGAGGGACUUUCGUUUCUGUCCUGAGGUUUCGGCCGUCGAAGGUGCCGCCGAACCUGCCCGAGUUUCGUCUCUGGAGGGGACUUUCGGCCGCCGAAGGUGCCGCCGAAAGUGCCCUGUCCAGCCGUUUCUUGGGUGUUUCCUAUGCAUGUUUAAGUGAUGUUUUAGAGGGUUUUUGGGGAGUAUGUUUAUGAGUUGUGUAGAGUGUGUUUGGCACCUCAUUCGAGUCCACCUGUGUAGGAUCGGACCCGAGAGACCGAGGAGGCCAUUAGUGCUAGCAGGUGCAGAGUCAGUCGGCGUCUGCCAGGAGGUGAGUAGAACUAAACUUAAUAUUUUAUGCACAAAAUCUAAUGCCUAAAGCAUGUUCAUGCAUCAUAAUGAUGUAUAGUAGGUUGACUGCACUAGUUCACGAAUAUGUUGCAUUGCAUUAUUUCAUGUUGAUGUUGAGGUAGGUUUGGACCAAGGCGACUCCAAUAGCCCAUAUCUGUCAUUGAGUCUUGGGUAAGUCCUUUGAGAGCCGGACGAGUACAUAUAGGAAAGUCACUGUGAGCUCUCUGUGGACUAGGUACCCCGUCAUGUAUGUGAAAGUCCUGUGUGAGCUCCUUUGGGGGAGCCGGACACCGACAGAGGGAUUUUUGGGGUCAUGUCCGAUCCCAAAAAAUUAAAAAGACAAUAAAUAUAUUUUUUAUUUUUUUUAAUUUAAUUAAAAAAUUUAUUCUAACAUGAAAGAGAUAUUUACAAAUAUAGUAAACAAUUAAAUAAUCAAGGAAAUUAUGUAAUUAUGAAAAGAAAAUAAGUUAAUGAUGACAUGCAAGAAAGGGAAAAUAAAAUGAAAUAUGGUGAGAGAUAAAUUAAAAUAUGGUAAAAAUAAAUUAAAUAAAAUAAGAAAUAAUGUAAGGGAGUUACGGCAAUUAUAUAACUCAUUUAAAUCUGAAAUUUUAAAAAAAUAAAUUUAUGAAAACGAAAAAUUAAGCAAAUAAAAAAUUUCAAUUAUAAAAGAGAGGUUGGGCCAAUUUUAGCCACCAAAUAGAAAUUGUAACUGCUUUCUACCGCAUGUUCUAAUAUUAAUAAUAUGAAUUAAAAUAUCAAAGCGCAAAAAAAAAAAAAAGAAAAAAAGUCAAGAAUACAAGAACGCAAAGAUUAGUUCUACAAAACAUCUCUAUCUGAUUGUCGAUAAUUCUAGUAUUAUAAAUUAAAAUUCAAUGAAAAAUAAUAAAAAUGCUUAGAAAAUUAUAAAUUUUAUGGUAAUAUCAUACUCAUGUAUAAUGCACAGGAGGAAAAAUAAAGAUAUCAAAAAUAUUUAUAUAGUUUGAUUUGUUCUAAUCAUAAUAGAGCUAUUAUAGUAUAGAUUAUAAUUUACACACUAUUUUUAUUUGCAAUAUAGAAUUAUGUUAGAAGCAAAAACAUAAAUAACUAAAAAAUUAAACAUUAUGGUUCACUUUUCAAACUUAAUUUUAGACUCAAGAAUUGGUCCUUAAAGUUUCAGAUACUGGACUAACAGUAACCGACUCAAAUUACAGAUUUACCUCUAUCACUUUCAAAAUUUAUAACUAAUUUCAAUAUAAAUUAUAAAAAUACAAAUAAUAUAGGUAAAUUAAAGAAAAAUUUAUGAAGAGUUCAUGAAAAAUAUUUAGAGAGUCAAUCUUUUCCGAUCAGCAUAGAAAAGCUGAACAGAUCUGAUUACUCUUAUAAUUUCAUUCAUAGAAUUUGUACUGCUCUCAAAUUUCACAUUCAUAUUAAUGUAGAAUAUGUCCAAUACACUCAAAUCAAUUCAAUAACAUAAAAAAGAAUAUUUUUAUGCCAUCAAAUUAUUUUUGUGAGUAAAUUACCUUAAAAAUAAAUUAAAAGAAAGAAAAAAAAGGAAAAAAAAUUAAAGGAAAUGGUUUGAAGACUUAAAGAGGAAGACCUUUUUAUUUUUUAUUUUUUUAAAUAAAAAUUGAGAGAAUUCAGAGAGUUAAAGAGCGAAAGAUGACUGCCACAAAAGAGCGUAAAGAGAAAAUGAUGGUUGAUUGAUUAGGAGUUUUAAUGAGAAAAGACAGUUUAAUUAGGAAGAGUAGUAAUAAUAACAACAACAACAAUAAUAAUAAUAAUAAUAAUAAGAUAAAUUGGAGAGGAGCACGCAGCGUGCUCCUCCUCUUUCAUUUUUAUUUUUAUUUUUUUAUUUUUUUAUUUUUUUCUUAUUUUUUUAAUUUAAUUCAUUUUUUAAAUUCAAAUUUUUUUUUAAUUUAAUUACUUAACUAAAUUAUUUUUUAUUCAGUUUUAUUAUUUUAUUUUUUAAUAUUUUCAUUAUAUAAAAUAUCUCCCUUUAGUCCUAUUAAUUUCAUGUGUAUAUAUCGGGAUCAUGUAAGAUUCUUAUCAUACGCCUCUCACUAUUUUAGAUAUGCAUGUAUCUCAGAAUAAAAAAAAUAGAAAUCUAUAUCUGGAGAACGAAUCUGUAAUAUCCGGUUAGACUCCGGUGUCAAAAUUCCAAUCUUUCGACAGAAUCCCUGUUGGAACCCAGAAUCCCGGAGCUGGAAUCUCCUUAGGAAGGGUAAAAUAAGGUUUUUAUAAAAUGAAUUUUGAAAAUUUUAAGGUUUUGAGUUAAAAAGAAAAGAAAAGAGUUUUGAAGAGGAACCCCAAGUUUGGCCGUGGAAGGUGGUGCCGCCGCGGGACCUCCCCUUUCGGCCCCCAAAAGUGGUUUAACCAGCCACCUAUAAGAGGCCUUAGCCCGAAAAUGAGAGAGAGUUUUCUCUCCAUUUUCGAACAGAGGUGAGUCAUUGUCGUUCCUUUGAUGAUCUUGUCGUUUUUCCUUCAAAUCUCUUAGGAAAUUCACGAGUUUCCUUUUGUUUUUGAAGUUUUGAGUUUG
rnacentral:lncRNA from 1 species